UUUUCCUUCCGGUACGCCCAUGCCUGCAUGGCCUAUUACCUUUAACUAUAAGAAUGUUAAAAUGAUGUUUAUGAACUAUAGCAGUUUAAUGGUACAAAAAACCCAUAUAAUUAUAGACAGGCAGUUCAGUACUCACGCUUGUAUUGUCGCACUAUAAAUCAUACUUUAUACUUUAGAACUGUUCUUUAGUCAUGUAGCGAUGAGUAGUACCACCACGGGCUUUAGAACCAAUUCAAUUUGACAACGGUAGUAUUCUGUCUAUAGCAGUUAAAAUAGAGUGUAUGGUACCUGAAUUAUUCAAUAUCUUGCUUGACAGUACUUCGAUCUAAAUCCAUAAAUACAUUUACAUAUUAUGCAAAUACUGGAUAUUUUCAAAUCCGCCAUUGUCAUAGAACCCAAGCACAGCAAGCUUUCGCGGGUCACGCCCGUGAUUUGCACUGAUAAUAGGAGGGUAAGAUCAUCCAAUUUUUUCAUUGUUCGAAGCGAGAGGAAAUGAUAGCUCCAUAUAUGGCACAAAUGUGUCCCCAACUUACUUAUAUGGCACAAACGUGUCCCUAGAAUAUUUUAUCGACGUUGCCAUCUUGUCAUAAAAUUCCUCACACUCGGAACGAAUUGAACAGG